AAUCGUAAUUUGUUUUCGUGUUCCUGAGUAGUUAAAAAUUUGCGUAAUUAUUUCAGCAUUUUUCAAAUGUAAUUACAUUUCUGCAUUGCCAAAUUGUUUCGAUAUUAGGUAACUUUACUACCCAUUUAUUGUGACAAAUCAGACACACCUUAUAUAUUCGAAGAACUUUGGUGCUCGUCUUGCUGGACGGUUGACAGCUUGAACUGACGUUUCAUUGUGUUUGAAAUUUUCACGCUUCAAACAAGUCGCUCUGUUUCUGCUGCUACUUUUUCAUUUAUAAUCAGCUAAUUUGCCAAUAAACGCAGAAAAUUUGGUGAAAAUGUGAAAAAAAGCUUGCUGCUCUUCCCGCUGGCCCUGCGGAAGGCUAAUUUGGCUGAGAUUUUACAAGUUAGCCAUCUCCUAGUGGACUGAAUCAACUGGAACCGGCCCUCAAUGUUCUCCGCCGUGAAAUCAUUUUUGGUACGUUCGUUUGAUGGCUAGUUCCACACUGAGUGCCGCACUCAGAGCUGUCAAAGUGUUUCUUUGAAGAAACUCGCGCUAGUUCCGCACGAGUUUCGCCGCCAUCUUGGAAGUGAAACUCUAGUGCCGCACUCGAUAUUUUUUCAGUUUCAUGCGAGUUCCAAGCACACUGACAGAUGACGUUCGAUUGAACCAAAACUGGCACCGACGAGUGCGGCACUCAGUGCUACACUGGCUGUUCAAACGAACGUACCAUUUGUUUCUUCGAAACAGGUUCAUCAAUCAACUCGGGAGUGCGAGAGCUCGAGCCUCGUUGCCGAGCCAUGGAUGGCGCCGCGAAAGUUCUCAAUUCUUGAAUGUUCCGCCCUGAAGGAUGCCCAACACAAGAAAAGAACAUAAUUUGGAAAUAAAUAAUGCUGUGUGGAAACGCG